GAAGGAAGUGCAGAUCCUCAAUGAACAAUCUUUAUUAUCCUUUAAAUUUCUAUUUUCUGUCCCUGUAUCUUUUUUCAGGUGUAAUUUUACCAUCUUACCUUGCAACUAACUAAGUAUUUUUCAUUUUAUAUUUAGGUUAAUUUAAACAAUGGUAUUUUGUAGCAAUGAGAGUAUAGAGAAAAUAGUUUGUUUUGACACCAUCUCCAAGCCAAAAAGCCAGGAAGGAGCCACCCUGUCUGAUCAAGAUAAAGGAGGGCCGAUGGCUGAUGGCAUCAAUGAGGAUAGUGCUUCAUGCCUCUCCUGCUUUAGUCUUCGGGAAAAAACUAAAAGGUUCCACUGAAAAAUUCAAGGAUUCAAGGUCUUUGUCCCCGGUAACAUCCUUCUCUCCACACUGGAAAGAUAUUGAUUUGAUGGCUCUGCUAUGGACACCUCAUCUUUAUGGAUGGUUAAGAACUAAAGAGCAUGGUUUUCAGGUCCAUUCUUUCCACCUCCAACGUAGUAGAAGUGAAUAGUAAUAAUAAAAGAAAUUGCAACAAUAACUGUAGCA
rnacentral:lncRNA from 1 species